AAUAUUGCGCAAUGGAGGAAACUCUGACGCAGCGACGCCGCGUGAGCGAUGAAGGNCUNNGGAUCNUNAAGCUCUGUCCUUGGNNNNNAAGAUCGAAAGAUUUGACGGUACCCGAGGAGGAAGCCCCGGCCAACUACGUGCCAGCAGCCGCGGUAAUACGUAGGGGGCAAGCGUUGUCCGGAAUUAUUGGGCGUAAAGGGUGCGUAGGCGGCUUUUUAAGUCAGAUGUGAAAGACCACGGCUUAACCGUGGGGUUGCAUUUGAAACUGGAAGGCUUGAGUAUCGGAGAGGGUAGUGGAAUUCCCAGUGUAGCGGUGAAAUGCGUAGAUAUUGGGAGGAACACCAGUGGCGAAGGCGACUACCUGGACGAAAACUGACGCUGAUGCACGAAAGCUAGGGGAGCAAACAG
rnacentral:rRNA from 1 species